rnacentral:rRNA from 1 species
GUCCACACCGUAAACGAUGGAUACUAGGUGUAGGAGGUAUCGACCCCUUCUGUGCCGCAGUUAACACAAUAAGUAUCCCACCUGGGGAGUACGACCGCAAGGUUGAAACUCAAAGGAAUUGACGGGGGCCCGCACAAGCAGUGGAGUAUGUGGUUUAAUUCGAAGCAACGCGAAGAACCUUACCUGGGCUUGACAUCCCUGGAAUCGAGUAGAGAUACUUGAGUGCCUUCGGGAAUCAGGUGACAGGUGGUGCAUGGUUGUCGU